UUUCUCUGAUUUUGCGUCGGAUCUCUGUGCGAUUGACCCAUCCAGACUCGCUGACAAACUGCCUCUGCUCCAGUGGGCUGAUACUGGGACAUUUCUGACAUUGUUAGAGAAUCAGAUUUUAUGAAACAGAAGAAAAAUCAUUCAAUCAAACUAUACCGAUUAAGUCAUGAUCAUUGACUAAUAAUGCAGGGCUACAAGCUGGAAAACAUUGACUGCUUUAAUUUUCAGUAUAAUCACUGUACCAAUAUGAUGUUGCUGAGGGGCUCCAUGUAUGUGGGAAUCAGGAGAAGGACAAGGAUUGAAUUUUGAGGAACUCUAGAGAUGGUGAUGUGAGAGUGGGAAGAAAAGCCAGUACAGAUGAUUUUCUGAUCACAACUGGACAGAGAGAAUUAGAACCAGGUAACACUAGAGCCCACCCACUGGAUGACAAACAGGCUUUGGAGGAGGCUGGUUUGAUCAUUGUAUCAAAGGCUGCAUGUCCAGAAGGAAGGAUGGCCAUGUAGUCACAUUGAAUUCCAGACCUCAGCAUGUACUCGUCAAUCCAAAUAGAAAACUGAUUUCAUCGGGGUAUCAUUUUCUUUGUCUACUGCUCCAUAUAUUUAUUUUCUGGUUGCAGUACAGAAAAUAAUUGAGUGGAUUAAGUGCAAGCCUACAAGAGAAUCCAUUUAAAUGUUCUGCUGUGAAUAUUUCUUGGAAAUUCAUACCAACAUGCAGUUUAUAUAUCUCACAUUCCGCAGGGACAGUGUAAAUUUCAAC